CUACGGGACGCUGCAGGCGAGAAAACUUUGCAAUGUGCGAAAGCACGACAAGGUUAAUCCGAGUGGUUUGUGCUAAACGAACCUUUUGACAGUCCUAGAAACACUGUUGAAUAAGGGGUGGGCAAGUUCUGGUGUCAGCCGCCGCGGUAAAACCAGCACCUCAAGUGGUCAGGAUGAUUAUUGGGCCUAAAGCAUCCGUAGCCGGCUCUGUAAGUUUUCGGUUAAAUCUGUACGCUCAACGUACAGGCUGCCGGGAAUACUGCAGAGCUAGGGAGUGGGCGAGGUAGACGGUACUCGGUAGGAAGGGGUAAAAUCCUUUGAUCUAUUGAUGACCACCUGUGGCGAAGGCGGUCUACCAGAACACGUCCGACGGUGAGGGAUGAAAGCUGGGGGAGCAAACCGGAUUAGAUACCCUCGUAGUC
rnacentral:rRNA from 1 species